UGACCAGAGAAAUAUGAACGUUUCCAUGUACGCAUACGCGGUGUAAUACGCGAGUGCUGCGCUUUGCGGAGAACCAGCCUAGAUGCGUCCGCGUUGGGAGCGUCGCGUCGGCGCGCUGCUGGAGAGAGGUGUGUGUCCAAAGUGGAUUAAAAGACGUUCAUAUUGUGACCUAAAGACAAACUCACUUUUAGUGGUAAUCUUUGUUGUGUAAUUUUAUGGUUAAUAUGUUUGAUGAAUGCUGUUUGUAAUUUUAUUUACCUGUAAUUAAGCCUAUUAGUUUAACACGCGCGUCAUUUCGGCGCGUCUUCCCGCCGGCGUCGCGCGGGCGACCAACAUUUCCUGAGACUCCUGCCAGCUGACGCUGGACCCCAACACAGCAAACAGAGAAGUGUCUCUGUCAGGGGGGGACAGGAAGGUGACAGGGGGGGCAGAGCAGCCAUAUCCUGAUCAUCCAGAGAGAUUUGACAGCUGGAGCCAAGUUCUGUGCAGAGAGAGUCUGACUGGUCGCUGUUACUGGGAGGCUGAGUGGGAUGGAGAUGCUGCCUGCAUAGGAGUGACUUAUAAAGGGAUCGGGAGGAAAGGAGGGAGUGACUGUGGGCUUGGAGCCAAUAACAAGUCAUGGAUGCUGUGCUGCUCUCCUCACAGACACUCUGUCUGUCACAAUAAUAAAGAGACUCUCAUACCCAUAGAGCCCUCAGGCCCCCGCAGAGUAGGAGUGUAUCUGGACUGGGGGGCUGGUGCUCUGUCCUUCUACAGAGUCUCCUCUGAUGGACUGACCCCCCUGCACAGAUUCACCUCCUCAUUCACUGAGUCCCUCUAUCCAGGGUUUGGGGUUUAUCCAAACCCCCCCAUGUCGCUGUGCAUGCUGGGAUAGCUCACUGUGUGCUGGAGGAAUCAUUUUUACCGUAUCAGUCUCACAUGUCGCUGCUUCUCCAUGGCAAAAAGGUAAAAUCUCUGCUUUAUAACCAGUAUAACCCUUUUUACUCUGUCUGAAGUGUGACGUAUGUUAAUAAUUGGGUUCUGUAAGCUGAACAAACAUGUAGAAUGACUGUUUU